rnacentral:lncRNA from 1 species
UUAGCUGUCUUUUUCCGUUUAAAGUCAAAGCAUUUAACGGUUGUUUUAACUUUGUGUUAGAAAGGUGAGUACAAUUAGUUGACUGGAAGAAGAAAAAAAAUUUAUUUAUCUAUUUAUAAAUUGAUAUAUAAUACAGUGACCAAAAAUACACUUAACCCAUAAAACCCAUAACUGGGAGUCUGGGUUACCAAUAUGGUUCAGCCAUUACUGACUUGCGUGGUAAACGAAGUUGAUUUAAUUUCAAUAAUUCAUUUGGGUUCAAUAUUUUACAUUUUUACUCCUUAUAUUCUGUGGAAGUUUAUAAUGUAGGAUAUAUAAUAAAUUAGAGUGAAGUCAUACUUAAGUUUUACCAAUCUCAUACAUACACAUAGGUCUUAAUUAUAAUUUGAGGAUUCUUGUUUAUUUAUGAUAUUUAUAUGAUCCAAAGCCAAUAGUAGAUAAAAUAUUGGGUCAAUUCCAAUUACCCAAUACAAAGCAUGACAGGUAAAUCGGCAUGCAAUUUUUAAGCUGAUCCGUCAAAAAAGCCUGGUACUUUUUAGAUUUGGGUUGGAUUUAAUAUUGGACUGACGGGCUUUGGUCCCCCCAAUGACAUAUUGCCCAAAUAUUUACAAUCUCAAGCGUAUUUUUAUAGUCAUUAUCAGUAUUAUAUUAGCAGAAUUGUACAAAAUUUGUGUGUCUCAUUGUAGGGUAAAAUCAAAAGUUCAAAACUAAUCAUGUUACAACUACUAGAGCAUACAUACAAAUGGAGCAAUUUUACUAAAAUAAUAUCCUGUCUUGGUUCAAUAUAAGAAUGAUGUUUAACCCUAAAAACAACUAUGAUUUCGGAAUGAAAACUGAUAUUUCCACAACAGAAAAUGAUAUUUACACAUAAAAACAUAAAAAGUGUCGCAUUUUGCAUGUGAAAAUAUCAAAAAGUGUUGUGGAAAUAUCAAUUUCCUUUCGGAAAUUAUAUAAUAUACAAUCAGUACCUUCCGAUUUGUCUACAAUAAUUCUUUAUUUCUUUGCAUGCCAUUAACUCUAUCAAUUAAUGUUAACAGCAUCUGGUGGUUCAAUGCUUCAUAGUCUCUGCAUAAUUACAAGACAGUUUCUUUUAAGUAGUGUAUAACAUAAUCAUUUUUAGCAUCUAUUAUUCAUCAUAACUAUAAUAAAGUAGAGUUAAUCAUUUCUAUUUUUACCUGUAUGUAUAGAUGGCAUAUAGGAGCUGUGUUGUUGCAAACAGAAUGAACAGUAAUCUGACCAGACUUAUUAUCCAUGCCUGUUGUUCAAUGUCAUUUGAUACAUAUUUAGGUACGGCAAAUUCAAACAGAAAUGCAGCACAUAACCCUGCAGCAAAAAUAAAAAAUAAAAAUAAAAAUAAAUUCAAUGUUUCAAAAUAAAAAAAUUCUGAAUUUUAGGAAAUCAAAGGUGAUAAUGUACCUAUAUAGAGCCUAGGCCUCACAGGGUACGUUUGCUUUGUACUUGUGAACAUAUAGAUAAUAAAGAUUGAUAUGGAGUAGACAAUGAAAGCUUUGAUCCAUCGCGACUCCAGUAGAAUGGCAUUGUGCAGGGCAAAGAGCUUGUCUAUGGCUAGAAACAUGGUUGAUUGCUUUGAUUCAAAAUCAUCCUACAAAUAUAUAUACAGACAUUCGAAAGAGGUACAUAGAGUAAGUAACUGCUAACUUCUGAGCAUAUAUAAUGUCCCCGAAAGCUGCACUAACCUGAGAAGCUAAUAUUGUCUUUGAAUUUUGUAUCAGAUGACCAUGAGUUUGUUCAAGUUGUUGUUGCCGUCUAAGAAGCUCUUCUUGUUGCUUAUGACCAAUUUCAGCCAACUCUUCCAGGGUGCCCCUGUAAAAAAGAUAAAAUCAAAAUCGAUUUUGCCUUUUUUAGUUAUGAUUUGUGUCAUAACUUUGUUUAUACCUGCUUUCUUUAAGUGAUUGGG